UACAGAGGGUGCGAGCGUUAAUCGGAUUUACUGGGCGUAAAGCGUGCGCAGGCGGUUCGUCGUGUCCGAUGUGAAAGCCCCGGGCUCAACCUGGGAAUGGCAUUGGAAACUGGCGGACUAGAGUGUGGCAGAGGGGGGUGGAAUUCCGCGUGUAGCAGUGAAAUGCGUAGAGAUGCGGAGGAACACCGAUGGCGAAGGCAGCCCCCUGGGCUAACACUGACGCUCAGGCACGAAAGCGUGGGGAGCAAACAGG
rnacentral:rRNA from 1 species